rnacentral:lncRNA from 1 species
CCUUCCCCUACGUAUCACUUUCUUCCCAAUCCCGUGGUGGCCCGCCCAAUCUUCAAUCAGACGGUCCAGGUUCGAUCAUCAAUGUCCGUACUCGUGAGGGCACUUUCGUCCAUAUGCAAGAUAAUAAAAGGUCGACUAUGUUGGCUUCUUCCUAUUGGACCGGGUGGCGAACCGAUCCGUCGAUUAACCGCCACUGGAUCACGAGCCGCAGCGAACGUGCACC